rnacentral:rRNA from 1 species
AGACCUACGGGAGGCAGCAGUGGGGAAUAUUGCACAAUGGGCAAAAGCCUGAUGCAGCAACGCCGCGUGAAGGAAGAAGGCCUUCGGGUCGUAAACUUCUGUCCUUGGGGAAGAAGAACUGACGGUACCCAAGGAGGAAGCCCCGGCUAACUACGUGCCAGCAGCCGCGGUAAUACGUAGGGGGCAAGCGUUAUCCGGAUUUACUGGGUGUAAAGGGAGCGUAGACGGCAUAGCAAGUCUGAAGUGAAAGCCCGUGGCUCAACCGCGGAACUGCUUUGGAAACUGUUAAGCUGGAGUACUGGAGG